AUGAUCAUACUUUAAUAGGACCACUACUAUAGUGCGAUUGCCGGGUUUUCUCGCCGAGAUUCUCGAAUAUAUUCAGCCACGAUGAGGACUGUUAGUGUAAUCCUCUGAGCGGGAAGCGGCUGUCAAGUGUUUGUGCUUGAGAGAUUUGAUGACCGUUCUGACUCGGUUUACCGAUGCUCAGAGGAGGAUAUCAAUCCACAAGUCUGGA
rnacentral:snoRNA from 1 species